GACGGGGGGCAAGUGUUCUUCGGAAUGACUGGGCGUAAAGGGCACGUAGGCGGUGAAUCGGGUUGAAAGUGAAAGUCGCCAAAAAGUGGCGGAAUGCUCUCGAAACCAUUCACUGAGUGAGAACAGAGGAGAGGUGGAAGUUUCGAUGUGUAGGGGUGAAAUCGAUAAUAUACGAAGGAACGCCAAAAGCGAAGGACAGC
rnacentral:rRNA from 1 species